AUCUUUCGACAUUAAGUGUUUCAAGAGAGCUCAAAUUGAAAAUGCUCUCCGAAAGACUCCUUAGGCUUUUGCAACUAGACAAAUCUAGGUGUUGAAGAGCCUUUAGACGUCCAAUUGAGGAUGUAAGCUCUUCUAUACUUGUUUCCCUCAAAUCAAGCCUUUUUAGAUUUUCCAUAUCAUCUUUGAUUUCUGGAAAGCGCUUUAAAUUUGAACACCCCCGCACAAUGAGAGUUUCAAGAGAGCUCAAAUUGCAAAUGCUCUCCGAAAGACUCCUUAGGCUUUUGCAACCAGACAAAUCUAGGUGUUGAAGAGCCUUUAGACGUCCAAUUGAGGAUGUAAGCUCUUCUAUACCUGUUUCCCUCAAAUCAAGCAUUUUUAGAUUUUCCAUAUCAUCUUUGAUUUGUGGAAAGCGCUUUAAAUUUGAACACCCCCGCACAAUGAGAGUUUCAAGAGAGCUCAAAUUGCAAAUGCUCUCCGAAAGACUCCUUAGGCUUUUGCAACCAGACAAAUCUAGGCGUUGAAGAGCCUUUAGACGUCCAAUUGAGGAUGUAAGCUCUUCUAUACCUGUUUCCCUCAAAUCAAGCAUUUUUAGAUUUUCCAUAUCAUCUUUGAUUUCUGGAAAGCGCUUUAAAUUUGAACACCCCCGCACAAUGAGAGUUUCAAGAGAGCUCAAAUUGAAAAUGCUCUCCGAAAGACUCCUUAGGUUUUUGCAACUAGACAAAUCUAGGUGUUGAAGAGCCUUUUGACGUCCAAUUAAGGAUGGAAGCUCUUCUAUACUUGUUUCCCUAAAAUCAAGCCUUUUUAGAUUUUCCAUAUCAUCUUUGAUUUCUGGAAAGUGCUUUAAAUUUGAACACCCCUGCACAAUGAGAGUUUCAAGAAAGCUCAAAUUGCAAAUGCUCUCCGAAAGACUCCUUAGGCUUUUGCAACCAGACAAAUCUAGGUGUUGAAGAGCCUUUAGACGUCCAACUGAGAAUGGAAGCUCUUCUAUAUCUGUUUCCCUCAAAUCAAGCCUUUUUAGAUUUUCCAUAUCAUCUUUGAUUUCUGGAAAGCCCUUUAAAUUUGAACACCCCUGCACAAUGAGAGUUUCAAGAGAGCUCAAAUUGUCAAUGCUCUCUGAAAGACUCCUUAGGCUUUUGCAACCAGACAAAUCUAGGUGUUGAAGAGCCUUUAGACGUCCAACUGAGAAUGGAAGCUCUUCUAUAUCUAUUUCCCCCAAAUCAAGCCUUUUUAGAUUUUCCAUAUCAUCUUUGAUUUCUGGAAAGCGCUUUAAAUUUGAACACUCCCGCACAAUGAGAGUUUCAAGAGAGCUCAAAUUGAAAAUGUUCUCCGAAAGACUCCUUAG
rnacentral:lncRNA from 1 species